rnacentral:rRNA from 1 species
CUACGGGCUGCUGCAGUGGGGAAUAUUGGACAAUGGGGGCAACCCUGAUCCAGCAACGCCGCGUGAGCGAUGAAGGCUUUCGAGUCGUAAAGCUCUGUCAGGAGGGACGAGACUUAAAGGGGAACAAUACCCUCUUUAAUUGACUUAACCUCCAGAGGAAGCACCGGCUAACUCUGUGCCAGCAGCCGCGGUAAUACAGAGGGUGCUAGCGUUGUUCGGAGUUACUGGGCGUAAAGCGCGUGCAGGCGGAUAGAGUAGUCAGGUGCGAAAGCCCCAGGCUCAACCGGGGAAUUGCGCUUGAAACCAUCUAUCUGGAGUAUGGUAGGGGAGCGGGGAAUUCUCGGUGUAGAGGUGAAAUUCGUAGAGAUCGAGAGGAACACCAGUGGCGAAGGCGCCGCUCUGGGCCACUACUGACGCUCAUACGCGAAAGCAUGGGUAGCAAACAGGAUUAGAUACCCGUGUAGUC